rnacentral:rRNA from 1 species
GACGAACGCUGGCGGCGUGCUUAACACAUGCAAGUCGAACGGAAAGGCCUUGCUUUUGUGGGGUGCUCGAGUGGCGAACGGGUGAGUAACACGUGAGUAACCUGCCCUUGACUUUGGGAUAACUUCAGGAAACUGGGGCUAAUACCGGAUAGGAGCUCCUGCUGCAUGGUGGGGGUUGGAAAGUUUCGGCGGUUGGGGAUGGACUCGCGGCUUACCAGCUUGUUGGUGGGGUAGUGGCUUACCAAGGCUUUGACGGGUAGCCGGCCUGGGAGGGGGACCGGCCACAUUGGGACUGAGAUACGGCCCAGACUCCUACGGGAGGCAGCAGUGGGGAAUAUUGCACAAUGGGCGGAAGCCUGAUGCAGCAACGCCGCGUGCGGGAUGACGGCCUUCGGGUUGUAAACCGCUUUCGCCUGUGACGAAGCGUGAGUGACGGUAAUGGGUAAAGAAGCACCGGCUAACUACGUG